rnacentral:rRNA from 1 species
UGGCUGGUCUCGGCGUUUGGAUAGAUUGGUGAGGUUAGGCUAUGUGCAAAGUUUGUGGCGGAAAACAGGUGGAACGACCAGCCCCCAAUGGUGUGGUCUACUUGG